GGAGGUUCCACCCAUUGAGCUUGACAAAGGAGAGGAGCGAAAGCACAAAAAACAGAAGAAGAGCGAAGCAUUGAAGGAGAAAACUUCAAAUGUUGAGGAUAAGGAACCAGCCAAAAAGUCUAGUAAGAAGGCUAAACAAAAUAAAGCAAGUGCCAUUGAUGAUGGAGAAACUCCUUUCGCGGACCUUUUUAUCUCCGACUUAUCAAACCCAUUGACAGGCAACCGGAAGGUCAGUAAUCA
rnacentral:misc_RNA from 1 species